AACGAACGCUGGCGGCAGGCCUAACACAUGCAAGUCGAGCGAGACCUUCGGGUCUAGCGGCGGACGGGUGAGUAACGCGUGGGAACGUGCCCUUUUCUACGGAAUAUCCUCGGGAAACUGAGCGUAAUACCGUAUACGCCCUUUGGGGGAAAGAUUUAUCGGAGAAGGAUCGGCCCGCGUUGGAUUAGGUAGUUGGUGGGGUAAUGGCCUACCAAGCCUACGAUCCAUAGCUGGUUUGAGAGGAUGAUCAGCCACACUGGGACUGAGACACGGCCCAGACUCCUACGGGAGGCAGCAGUGGGGAAUCUUAGACAAUGGGGGCAACCCUGAUCUAGCCAUGCCGCGUGAGUGAUGAAGGCCUUAGGGUUGUAAAGCUCUUUCAGCUGGGAAGAUAAUGACGGUACCAGCAGAAGAAGCCCCGGCUAACUCCGUG
rnacentral:rRNA from 1 species